rnacentral:rRNA from 1 species
AUUGAACGCUGGCGGCAGGCCUAACACAUGCAUGUCGAGCGAGCGGCGGACGGGAGAGUACUGUCUGGGAAAAUGCCAGAUGGAGGGGGAUAACCACUGGAAACGGUAGCAAAUACCGCAUAACAUCUGAGGUGCCCAGAUGGGAUUAGCUAGUAGGUGGGGUAACGGCUCACCUAGGCGACGAUCCCUAGCUGGUCUGGGAGGAUGACCAGCCACACUGGAACGGAGACACGGUCCAGACUCCUACGGGAGUCAGCAGUGGGGAAUAUUGCACAAUGGGCGCAAGCCUGAUGCAGCCAUGCCGCGUGUGUGAAGAAGGCCUUCGGGUUGUAAAGCACUUUCAGCGGGGAGGCGUUACCCGCAGAAGAAGCACCGGCUAACUCCGUGCCAGCAGCCGCGGUAAUAC